AUGGACCUGGACGGCUUCCCACUCGACCACGAGUUUCCGGAGGACUACGUCCUCGAGGAGGAAGAGGAUGAGUUGGACUUCGACGGGGAGUCUUUGUUCGAGGACGAGCUCACCAACCAAGCCGUCGGGGCAAAGCCGAAGCACAAGAGCAGGCGUACAAAGGCAUACGCGUCGUCCGAGGACAAGCUUCUUUGUGAGUGUCGGAGGGACAUUGGGCAAGACCCCAAGGUUGGUGCCGAACAAAAGGCAUCAACCUUUUGGAUUCGUGUCCAUCGUGAGUUCCGUGAGCUCAAGAAGUUUCCGCCGUACCAAAUGCAUAGCACGCGCGGGUGGGUUUCCAUAUCGAAGCAAUGGAGGGUGAUACAACAAGAAUGCAACAAGUUUUGUGCCACCCUUGAGAGCAUCAAGGCACGCCCCGUGAGCGGCAUCGGCAUGCAAGAUAUGGUACAUGCGCCCCUCUUCGUUUCCAUUCCUUAUGCUUGCAUGUCCAUUUGCAUAUCCAUUUUUACCCAUAUGCUUGCAUGCUAUUUGUUAAAAAUAAUUCUGUAA
rnacentral:rRNA from 1 species